CCUACGGGAGGCAGCAGUGGGGAAUAUUGCACAAUGGGGGAAACCCUGAUGCAGCGACGCCGCGUGAGUGACGAAGUAUUUCGGUAUGUAAAGCUCUAUCAGCAGGGAAGAUAAUGACGGUACCUGACUAAGAAGCACCGGCUAAAUACGUGCCAGCAGCCGCGGUAAUACGUAUGGUGCAAGCGUUAUCCGGAUUUACUGGGUGUAAAGGGUGCGUAGGUGGCAAGGCAAGUCUGAAGUGAAAAUCCGGGGCUCAACCCCGGAACUGCUUUGGAAACUGUUUAGCUGGAGUACAGGAGAGGUAAGUGGAAUUCCUAGUGUAGCGGUGAAAUGCGUAGAUAUUAGGAGGAACACCAGUGGCGAAGGCGACUUACUGGACUGCUACUGACACUGAGGCACGAAAGCGUGGGGAGCAAACAGGAUUAGAUACCCUAGUAGUC
rnacentral:rRNA from 1 species